UGGGGAAUAUUGCACAAUGGGCGCAAGCCUGAUGCAGCAACGCCGCGUGAGGGACGACGGCCUUCGGGUUGUAAACCUCUUUUGGCAGGGAAGAAGCGAAAGUGACGGUACCUGCAGAAAAAGCACCGGCUAACUACGUGCCAGCAGCCGCGGUGAUACGUAGGGUGCAAGCGUUGUCCGGAAUUAUUGGGCGUAAAGAGCUCGUAGGCGGUUUGUCGCGUCUGCUGUGAAAACCCGAGGCUCAACCUCGGGCCUGCAGUGGGUACGGGCAAACUAGGGUGCGGUAGGGGAGAUUGGAAUUCCUGGUGUAGCGGUGGAAUGCGCAGAUAUCAGGAGGAACACCGAUGGCGAAGGCAGAUCUCUGGGCCGUAACUGACGCUGAGGAGCGAAAGCAUGGGGAGCGAACA
rnacentral:rRNA from 1 species